GAUGAACGCUGGCGGCGUGCCUAAUACAUGCAAGUCGAGCGAACAGACGAGGAGCUUGCUCCUCUGACGUUAGCGGCGGACGGGUGAGUAACACGUGGAUAACCUACCUAUAAGACUGGGAUAACUUCGGGAAACCGGAGCUAGUACCGGAUAAUAUAUUGAACCGCAUGGUUCAAUAGUGAAAGACGGUUUUGCUGUCACUUAUAGAUGGAUCCGCGCCGCAUUAGCUAGUUGGUAAGGUAACGGCUUACCAAGGCAACGAUGCGUAGCCGACCUGAGAGGGUGAUCGGCCACACUGGAACUGAGACACGGUCCAGACUCCUACGGGAGGCAGCAGUAGGGAAUCUUCCGCAAUGGGCGAAGGCCUGACGGAGCAACGCCGCGUGAGUGAUGAAGGUCUUCGGAUCGUAAAACUCUGUUAUUAGGGAAGAACAAAUGUGUAAGUAACUAUGCACGUCUUGACGGUACCUAAUCAGAAAGCCACGGCUAACUACGUG
rnacentral:rRNA from 1 species